CAUCUUUUCUAGGCAUUCUAUAUUGUUGGUGUUUGAGUGUAUACCAGAGCUUCACUGCAAUAAUAAUAAGUCAGUAAUGUGUCUUUAAGCUACAAUAAAUGUGUUUAUAAAUCUGUGUAUUUAAGAUGCAUUGUUCCUGUUUCAUAUGGCAUGAUAAUUCCAUAAAUUGUGAUUAGAACCUAACCUUAACUUGUCCAGGCCUGUCCAUGACCAUAUACUAAACACACCGCUAAAAUUGAAGUGUCAAUAUUUUGCAUUUGAAAUGUUGAGUGGUAUGCCAUGGUAUUAAUUGAAAAUGAU